GACGGAGGGUGCAAGCGUUGUUCGGAAUCAUUGGGCGUAAAGGGCGCGCAGGCGGUUUAGCAAGUCCGAUGUGAAAUCCCGGGGCUCAACCCCGGAAGUGCAUCGGAAACUGUUAGACUUGAGUUUGAGAGAGGUCCGUGGAAUUCCAGGUGUAGGGGUGAAAUCCGUAGAUAUCUGGAGGAACACCAGCGGCGAUAGCGACGGACUGGAUCACAACUGACGCUGAGGCGCGAAAGCGUGGGGAGCGAACAGG
rnacentral:misc_RNA from 1 species